AACGAACGCUGGCGGCGCGCCUAACACAUGCAAGUCGAACGGAGUCAUGAGGAGCUUUCUUGUCUUGACUUAUUGGCGAACGGGUGAUUAACGUGGGAUUAACCUGCCCUGGAGUGGGGGACAAUAAUUGGAAACGACUUCUAAUACCGCAUAAGUCCACGGAUCCGCAUGGGUCUGCGUUGAAAGGAUUUAUUCGCUUGGGGAUGGACUCGCGUCGAAUUAGCUAGUUGGUGAGGUAACGGCCCACCAAGGCGACGAUGGGUAGCCGGACUGAGAGGAUGAACGGCCACACUGGGACUGAGACACGGCCCAGACUCCUACGGGAGGCAGCAGUGGGGGAUAUUGCACAAUGGGCGAAACCCUGAUGCAGCGACGCCGCGUGGAGGAAGAAGGUUUUAGGAUUGUAAACUCCUGUUGUCAGGGACGAUAAUGACGGUACCUAAAAAGAAAGCACCGGCUAACUCCGUG
rnacentral:rRNA from 1 species